UACGUAGGGGGCAAGCGUUGUCCGGAAUCAUUGGGCGUAAAGAGCGUGUAGGCGGCCAGAUAAGUCCGCUGUGAAAUCUCGAGGCUCAACUUCGAGCUGUCGGUGGAAACUGUCUGGCUAGAGUCCGGAAGAGGAGAAUGGAAUUCCUGGUGUAGCGGUGAAAUGCGCAGAUAUCAGGAAGAACACCCGUGGCGAAGGCGGUUCUCUGGGCAACUCCUGACGCUGAGGCGCGAAAGCGUGGGGAGCAAACGGG
rnacentral:rRNA from 1 species